UGGGGAAUCUUGCGCAAUGGACGAAAGUCUGACGCAGCGACGCCGCGUGGGGGAUGACGGGUUUCGGCUUGUAAACCCCUGUUGCCCGGGACGAACUUCUCCUUUCGAGGAGAUUGACGGUACCGGGUGAGGAAGCACCGGCUAACUCCGUGCCAGCAGCCGCGGUAAUACGGAGGGUGCGAGCGUUGUCCGGAAUCACUGGGCGUAAAGGGCGCGUAGGCGGCCCGAUGAGUCAACGGUGAAAGCUCGACGCUUAACGUCGAGUCGGCCGUCGAUACUGUCGGGCUUGAGCACGGUAGAGGCCAAUGGAAUUCCGGGUGUAGCGGUGGAAUGCGUAGAGAUCCGGAAGAACACCGGUGGCGAAGGCGGUUGGCUGGGCCGUGUCUGACGCUGAGGCGCGACAGCGUGGGGAGCAAACAGGAUUAGAUACCCCCGUAGUCC
rnacentral:rRNA from 1 species